AUGCGUGGUGACAGCCCUGCCUGCCUCCGCCGCCCGGAGGCUCUGCUGGCUCAUGUUCCUGUCUUUGUGUCCUCUUGCCUGACCACUUCCUCUUGCUGGGAGCGAGCGAUCCUUUGGGUAGCAGUUGCAGAAAUAGUUUCAGACACAGAAAUAGCUAAUAACGUCAGCUCAAAGCACCCAGCCCCUCAUGCUCUAGCUUCCUGUCAGCUGCAGCGGUCGGUGGUGCUCCUCACAGCAGCCUCGUCCAAGGCCACAGCCUGCAUCAACGCCGAGUGUCCUCGCGCCAGUCCUGCAGCGCUGCCCCAGGGCAGGGAGCGAUGGAGUCAGGGCUGUGGGGCAGGAGACUCGGUGCUGGACCCCGUCCCGUGCUGCCCACCCGUCAGUACCGUCCCCCGGGCUUUGCGUGGUGAUCUCCAAAGGCAACGUCCCUCAGAGUGCUGCGGCCUUCUGCAAGCAAUUUGCUGAUGACAGUGGGCGUCCUGCCCACCAUGCGUGUGUGGACCCAGGAGGUCAGCAGUUUCCACCAGCUCUUUCUUGUCUUCCAUGAUUCCAUUUCCUCUGGAUUUGCGUGUAGCAGCUUUGGAGGAGACACCGUGCUGGGGAGCACCAUGUCG
rnacentral:lncRNA from 1 species